ACUCAGUUAUCAAAAUAGGGAGGUUUUUAUCACAUAAACACCAGCUUAACAAAUGAUUAAUACGAGGUGGAAUUGAAGAUACUAAAAAGGCCUUUCUUCUUCUUCAAGAAACUGGAAAGACUGGGGAAGGAAGGGGUGGCUCAUUGAAGUAUCAGGACCUGUUAGGAAAGCCUUAAGAAUCCACAUCCAUGGCUCAGGGAAAUUCUGAAAACUCUCUUAUGAUGUUCUAAUUUUCUGGAUCCAUUUUCCACAACUGCUUCUGUGCAUAUGCAGAAUUCGUCUUGAUUGCCAAGAAACGAGUCUCCCCAGGCCACAUCAGCCGAUGAUUAUGGGGCCAUGGCCGUAAAUUUGGCUUGCCAACAGUGUUCAUUCUUAUCCUUCUGCAGUAUUUGCUGGUGUUAACCCGGAAAUCCACUUACUCGGUUGAGGCGGGAUCAACAUGGUACUUGUCAAACAAAUCAUGCACAACAUAUAAGCCCAACAGUGCUUCCUCGGCAACAAGUGGACUUGGACUUCUCUGGAUAUGUUUUAUUUUUGUUUUGAAAUGUUUUUUAAAAAUAUAUUUAUUAUGACCAAAUAUUAAAUUAUUGUUUUUUUAAUAAUUUUAAUGUAUUAAUAUUAGAAACUUAAGAAAAAUUAAAAACAUUCCUUAACAUAAAUUGUUC